UGUACCGGGCCUUACCAGUGCCGUAAAAUGCAUCGGUUUGGAAAGGGAGAUAUCAUACACCCUAUGUUUAUUUACCUUUGUUGCUUUGGCGGGCCGUCUUUUUAAGCGUCGGCCCCGGCUGAUUGCGCCCGCCAGAGGACCUAAAUUCUUUUUAUUAGUGAUGUCUGAGUACUAUAUAAUAGUUAAAACUUUCAACAACGGAUCUCUUGGUUCUGGCAUCGAUGAAGAACGCAGCGAAAUGCGAUAAGUAAUGUGAAUUGCAGAAUUCAGUGAAUCAUCGAAUCUUUGAACGCACAUUGCGCCCGCUGGUAUUCCGGCGGGCAUGCCUGUUCGAGCGUCAUUAUAACCAAUCAAGCUCUGCUUGGCUUUGGGGCCCGCUGUACUGGCGACCCUUAAAAUCAGUGGCGGUGCCGUCUGGCUCUAAGCGUAGUAAUAUUUCUCGCUAUAGGGUUCAGUCGUUCACCCGCCAAAACCCCCAACUUUCUUAGGUUGACCUCGG
rnacentral:rRNA from 1 species